GCUCUGUUAGUCUCAGUUGGUAGAGCACCGUGCUUAUACUUAAUUAGUAACGCGGGGGUCGCGAGUUCAAUCCUCGCACAGAGCU
rnacentral:tRNA from 1 species